rnacentral:piRNA from 1 species
AAUGAAUACAAUGGCUCAGGUGGCGGA